rnacentral:rRNA from 1 species
ACUCAAAUGAAUUGACGGGAGCCCGCACAAGCAGUGGAGUAUGUGGUUUAAUUCGACGCAACGCGAAGAACCUUACCAGGAAUUGACAUCCACGGAAUCCGGAUUAAUGUCCGGAGUGCCCUUCGGGGAGCCGUGAGACAGGUGGUGCAUGGUUGUCGUCAGCUCGUGUCGUGAGAUGUUGGGUUAAGUCCCGCAACGAGCGCAACCCUUACAGUUAGUUGCUACGCAAGAGCACUCUAGCUGGACUGCCGUUGACAAAACGGAGGAAGGUGGGGAUGACGUCAAAUCAUCAUGCCCCUUAAGAUCUGGGCUACACACGUACUACAAUGGCAUUAAACAACGGGAAGCGAAGCCGCGAGGCGGAGCAAAUCCCCAAAAGGUGCCCCAGUUCAGAUUGCAGGCUGCAACUCGCCUGCAUGAAGUUGGAAUUGCUAGUAAUCGCGAAUCAGCAUGUCGCGGUGAAUACGUUCCCGGGCUUUGUACACACCGCCCGU